rnacentral:rRNA from 1 species
ACGAGACCUUCGGGUCUAGUGGCGCACGGGUGCGUAACGCGUGGGAAUCUGCCCUUGGGUCUGGAAUAACAGUUAGAAAUGACUGCUAAUACCGGAUGAUGACUUCGGUCCAAAGAUUUAUCGCCCAGGGAUGAGCCCGCGUCGGAUUAGCUAGUUGGUGGGGUAAAAGCUCACCAAGGCGACGAUCCGUAGCUGGUCUGAGAGGAUGAUCAGCCACACUGGGACUGAGACACGGCCCAGACUCCUACGGGAGGCAGCAGUGGGGAAUAUUGGACAAUGGGCGAAAGCCUGAUCCAGCAAUGCCGCGUGAGUGAUGAAGGCCUUAGGGUUGUAAAGCUCUUUUACCCGGGAUGAUAAUGACAGUACCGGGAGAAUAAGCCCCGGCUAACUCCGUGCCAGCAGCCGCGGUAAUACGGAGGGGGCUAGCGUUGUUCGGAAUUACUGGGCGUAAAGCGCACGUAGGCGGCUUUGUAAGUUAGAGGUGAAAGCCCGGGGCUCAACUCCGGAAUUGCCUUUAAGACUGCAUCGCUAGAAUUGUGGAGAGGUAAGUGGAAUUCCGAGUGUAGAGGUGAAAUUCGUAGAUAUUCGGAAGAACACCAGUGGCGAAGGCGACUUACUGGACACAUAUGACGC